GGGCUUGACUGGAUUUGACAGCGAGUUGGAGUGGUAUGUAAGCAUGCAGUGCGUCGGUGAUUGGCACUAUAAUCUCAGUUAUCAAAAUUUUAUCUGGCAACGAAAAUUACGCUCUCGCUGCUUAAUCGAAGUAUAGUAGAUUAACUUUAUUUCUGCCAUAGUGGUAGAAACGAGAUGUCACUCAAAAGCUCUUGUUCCGAAGCGUUUGGUAAAGUGGCACAGCAAAUUCGGGAAUAGUUUGAGACUUUCCUCGCAUCUCUCACGAAAUUUUAGAGGAUAAGGUAUAGAUUGGUGGCUUCGGUCUUGUCUAUACACGAAAAUUCAGGCGAAGAUAAGCAUGUAGAAAGCGUAUGGCUUCCUCGUUUGGACGAGGGUUCGACUCCCUCCAGGUCCACUA
rfam:Bacteroides sp. CAG:98 genomic scaffold, scf332